UGGCCACAUGAGGCAUCUAGCGUGUCAAGCAG
rnacentral:piRNA from 1 species